rnacentral:tRNA from 1 species
GGCUCCAUAGUUUAGUGGUUAGUACAUCUGCUUUACGUGCAGAAAGUCCUAGGUUCAUGCCCCAGGUGGAGCCA